UACGUAGGGUGCGAGCGUUAAUCGGAAUUACUGGGCGUAAAGCGUGCGCAGGCGGUUCGUGAUGUCUGGUGUGAAAGCCCCGGGCUUAACCUGGGAAUUGCAUUGGAAACUAGCGGGCUGGAGUGUGGCAGAGGGGGGUGGAAUUCCACGUGUAGCAGUGAAAUGCGUAGAGAUGUGGAGGAACACCGAUGGCGAAGGCAGCCCCCUGGGCCAACACUGACGCUCAGGCACGAAAGCGUGGGGAGCAAACAGG
rnacentral:rRNA from 1 species